rnacentral:lncRNA from 1 species
GUGGGGUUCACUCUUCACAGCCUGCCUUGGGCAUCGUCAAUAUUCCAGUCCCCUGAACGCAGAGAGGGAAAUAAAGAGUAACUUUGCAGUGCAGGUCGCUGUCUGACACCAGUGUAAAUGUCAUCACAAUUGUGCUCCAGUGAAUAACAGCAAUGAGAGCAAAGGGCAUGGCAGCCGCAGAGGAGAGAGCGUGACAAAGCGGGACCCUCCUCCGGGGAAGCAGAGCAGCCUUCCAACCGAAAACAGCUCGUGAAGAUGGGGGUUUACGUUGCCUUCCGUGUUCCUCGUUUAUAUCAGGGGCCCUGCGGAAUCUUCUUCGUGGUGCUAACGGAGAUCCUUUCUUAUUCAUCUUGGUACCUGCACCCCAUGCAAAAUGUCCGACACAACACGUGUCAAUCAAUUGGAUAAGUGGUGAGUACUUUAAUUUGAAGAACUAUAAUAAUGUUUUAUAUUCAAAAUGUGUUAGCGCAGU